rnacentral:rRNA from 1 species
UACGUAGGGUGCAAGCGUUGUCCGGAAUUAUUGGGCGUAAAGAGCUUGUAGGCGGUUUGUCGCGUCUGCUGUGAAAUUUCGGGGCUCAACCCCGAACUUGCAGUGGGUACGGGCAGACUAGAGUGUGGUAGGGGAGACUGGAAGUUCCGGGUGUAGUGGUGGAAUGCGUAGAGAUCCGGAGGAACACCAGCGGCGAAGGCGGCAUCCUGGACUGGUCCUGACACUCAGGAGCGAAAGCGUGGGGAGCGAUCCGG